GACGAACGCUGGCGGCGUGCUUAACACAUGCAAGUCGAACGGUGAACUCCGCUUGCGGGGGGAUCAGUGGCGAACGGGUGAGUAACACGUGGGCAACCUGCCCUCAGCUCUGGGAUAACUCCAAGAAAUUGGGGCUAAUACCGGAUAUGACCGCUGACCGCAUGGUCUGGUGGUGGAAAGAUUUAUCGGCUGGGGAUGGGCCCGCGGCCUAUCAGCUUGUUGGUGGGGUAGUGGCCUACCAAGGCGACGACGGGUAGCCGGCCUGAGAGGGUGACCGGCCACAGUGGGAAAGAAAAAGGGCCGAGACUCCGGCGGGAGGAGGGAGGGGGAGUGGUUGCGGAGGGGGCGAAGGCCGAGCGCAGCGAGCCCGGGGGGGGGAUGACGGCUUUCGGUUUGUAACCCUUUUGCAGCGGGAAGGAAGGAAAAGGAAGGGGACGUAAAAGAAAAACCCCGGCAAACUACGUC
rnacentral:rRNA from 1 species